CCACAUUUUUCCAACGCGUAAUAAGUAUAAUUGUAACAACCAAAAUAUAAUCGCCGUCCGAGUGACAGUAAGUUAUAAUGACAUAGGUGUGCACUAAAUUGUUGGUGUACUUUUCAUAUUUUUACUUAUCAGUUGUAUCCGGAUGAAAAAUCGUAUACGUAUAUUGUACAGAGUGACUCAUUUAUCACAAACCCGCGAUUACCUUUAAGGAUUUUAUGCGCCAAUAUGAUUUAUGUUUUUCUAGUCAUUAUGGAAUAGUGUAUUUUUUAUUUUCAAUUUUUCACCCCUAAUUCUUUUGUACCUUAAAUAAAUUAACACUUUUGACUUUUAAAUAGGAAUGCCUAUAGUGUUCAACACAUAUUCGAAUAGAAAAUAUCGGAUUUAUCGUUUUAUUAGUUUAACCGUUUAAAUUUUAUAUCAGAGGAGUAUAGGGAAGAGUUACUAAUUCGUCAUUUAAAAAUGGAUAUUAAGUUUGCUACCCUUCCCUACUCGUUGUAGGAUACUAUACUCA